rfam:Pelodiscus sinensis unplaced genomic scaffold scaffold239, whole genome shotgun sequence.
CUUCAGUGAACAUUCAACGCUGUCGGUGAGUUUGAGAAUUAGAAAAAAAAACCAUCGACCGUUGAUUGUACCUUGAGG